ACGCCAGGACAGCGGAGUCAAUCACCACCUUCCGGAGACACCUGAAACCCCACCUCUUUAAGGAAUACCUAGGAUAGGAUAAAGUAAUCCUUCUCACCCCCCCCCUUAAAAGAUUUAGAUGCACUAUUGUAAAGUGGCUGUUCCACUGGAUGUCAUAAGGUGAAUGCACCAAUUUGUAAGUCGCUCUGGAUAAGAGCGUCUGCUAAAUGACUUAAAUGUAAAAUGAUAUAUGUAGAGAAAAGAGUCGGCCCGAGAAUUGAACCCUGUGGCACCCCCAUAGAGACUGCCAGAGGUCCGGACAACAGGCCCUCCGAUUUUACACACUGAACUCUAUCUGAGAAGUAGUUGGUGAACCAGGCAAGGCAGUUAUUUGAGAAACCAAGGCUGUUGAGUCUGCCGAUAAGAAUGGGGUGAUUGCACAGCAGGAAAGGCACGGUGGGAUUCGAAAUGGUCAGUGACCUGUUUGUUAACUUGGCUUUCAAAGACUUUAGAAAGGCAGGGCAGGAUGGAUAUAGGUCUGUAACAGUUUGGGUAUAGAGUGUCACCCCUUUUGAAGAGGGGGAUGACAGCGGUAGCUUUCCAAUCUUUAGGAAUCUUGGACGAUACGAAAGAGAGAUUGAACAGACUAGUAAUAGGUGUUGCAACAAUGGCGGCAGAUCAUUUUAGAAAGAGAGGGCCCAAAUUGUCUAGCCCAGCUGAUUUGUACGGGUCCAGUUGCAUAGUGUAACUGUGUCACCGACCUGAAUCUAAUCCAAUCUGGAGCCAGUCAGUUUACAUCUCUACAGCAUAACAUUUGAUUCCAAACGGGAUGAUGACAAUCGUUGACCCUGUUUUUCUGUUCGAUAAAGUGUGCAGUUGGGUGCCAGACUGAUCACCUGGUUAUGAAUGGAUGCCGGGACCUACCAGUAGGAGCAAAGGACACACCAUCAUGAGGCCUCUGAUAGUGACCCAAGUUACUGCCCUGAGGACACAGAUGGCUUCAUCAACAAUGACAGGCAAUGGUCAAUCAACACCACCUCUGAAGAUUGCCUGCUGCAAUUGUUUGAGAGAUGUCCAGUUUGCAACCGAACAUGCAGUAUAGAGAAUACCAGCAAGGGGGCCCUUCUCAGCAUGAUGUAGACAUGCCCUCGCUGUGAGUAUUCCUAUGAAUGGAACAGUCAGCUACAUGUCGGCAAGUAUCCGACCAGCAACCUUCACCUAUCGCCGGCAACACAGGUUCGUCAUUGGUUCAAAUACAGAAGGUAACCCACUUCAUUACUUUGAUACAACUGACUUUUGUUGUUUAUUUUCUUCUUCUUAGAUGCAUAUAAUGUCCAGGGAAUAACCUAGCCUGGAAGCAGACUAAUCGAUUUGUUCACCAGUCUAUUUCACGUCACAUUUUAUGAUAUCUGAAGUGAAAUAGAAAGGUGAAUCAGUGAUUGGGUUGGUUCCACCAGCCUAAUCAUAACCACCAUUGAUAAUGUAAUCAGUGAUCUGUGUGUAUGAGUGUGUGUGUGUGUGUUUAUGUGUGACCGACCAGUAUCUUUGAUGAGGGGCCAGGAGCUGAGCUACGCUGCUAUGCCCGUCAAUGGGGCUCUGGCAAAGACCUCACCUCCAGCCCCACCUCCUGCCUGCUCACCAAUGGUCGUCGAUGGUGAGAAAAGAAUUAGAAGGACUGGAGAUGCUUUUGUCAGACAGCAGCCUCAGUUGUUUAAUGGGGAGACCAUAAUUGGAAACAUGUAUGGAGCCAGCACAUGGAGACUUGCAAGAUGAUGUGAUGAAGUCCAGAAUGAUAGACGGGCUUGAUAUGGAUAUUUCUGAAUGGAGAGAGACAUGGGACUCGGCAUUAACAUUUUACUAGACACAGCUUUUAAUUGUAUUGCCUUUUUUAUUAUUGAAUUGAAUGGUAUCAGUCAACAUGGGGAGGGAGAAACACAGUGUAUUCUGCACCAGGAUAAAGGAAAUCCUAUUGUAAUAAGGGACACCUCUCAGGAAGGUAUGACCACUCUGACAUGUUUGCCAAGGUAGCCCCAUUACCACCAGACAAAGUGCCGAUAGGCACAGUACCUGUAUCAGCUGGGAAUGACAAAUGAAAGAUGAAAGGUGCACAUUGUUAUAUUAUCAGAACACUGCUUCUAUGGUAUAUUGUAAAGGUUUGUUUAUUCUAUAUGGACCUGUUACUACAUUUGAAAGUUAUCAAAACACUUAGUUUAGCAUAUCUACAUAAAUUCAGCAAUUGCAUUCUUCUCAUAUUACUGUGUAGCCUACUGACCUAUUCAGAGCUUCCAUCGUCAUCUCACAUUACAUCUGCAUGUAGUUAAUGAACUCAACCUGCGCAAGGUUUGUUUGUUGUGGCUGAGUGGGGGGAAACAGCUGAGGGCAAAGGUUCUGACAGAUGGGUGUGUCUUGAUGGUGGCAAGGACAGACGCAAGAAACACACACAUUAAACCACACCCCCAAUCCAA